GAGCCAGCCUGGGAGACAACAUUGUUCCUACAAGCUUGGUGAAUUACUGGCCCCUGAUCAGGCCAAUCUCCUAUUUUGGAUUACUAUAAAGUGAUAGGAUCCUGCUUCUGUGUUAUUUUAAGUAGCCUGAAGUGAUCCCAUAGGACCUGGCUACUCCUGGACAGUGGCUGAAAUAGCAAGUCUCCUGUCUACCUUCUCUGUCUGUGGAGCUCUGGGCCCUGGAAGUGAUUCCUUCAAGAAUUUACCAACCAACCUCAGGACUGCAGUUGGAUUCUACCAAAGAGAGGAGUUACAUCAGAGAAGAUGGGAGGAUGAAAUGGAGGCCUUUAUUCCCAUCAUCCCUGCAGCCAUCUGUUUCCUGCUGAGCCUCCAACAGAGAAACUUUCCAAUCAAGAAUGUACUGCCGCGAAUACAAAAAGUGCCAGCGUGGAACAUUGAUGUGAGGAGGAGAAAAGCCCCAGCUACAUGCUCCUCCACCAUGGUGCCACCUGUUUGGAUGCCUUCUCCAUCGUGUUGGACUCCACAUCUUCAAGCUAUAACCCAGAUGAGGUUCUCCUACCUCAGUCAUUCCUCAAAGGUAUUUUGUCUCAGUAAGAAGGAAAGUAAUAAAUACAGAGUCUCUAUAAACCUGAACCCCAACAAGCAUACGUGGAUCAACUGAAGUAACAGACAAGUCAGAGUAAACAAGAGAUGAACUAUAGAAAGGUCUUAAAACCCACAUACAGAACCAGACACUUCUGAAUAAGAGACUCUACUAGACUAACGCUGUUUAGGGUCUCUUGUUCAAUAAUCCGAAACAUGAAAAGUCUUGUGUAGAAAUCCAGGAGAGCAGGUUACUACAAACCAGAACAUCAUCUAUUGGUGGUUGUGCUCUUAGUUUUAUUGCUGUGCAUUUGCAUAGGAAUAUCCUCCAGUUAGAUGGAUGUGGUAGUCAAAUGCUCAACUGAUCACAUUUGUCUCUAAAAACAGAUCUGUCCCAUUAACUAACAGCUGUGAGCCCCAAUCUCGCGUAGCUCAUAUCAGAGGCUACCUCAAGUUUGCUACAUUUUACAACGUGUGAAUGCACUUUCCUACAAUAAAUAUGGCACUGUCUUAACACGCUCAAAGCUGUACCAAAAUAUGAGUUGAAAUUGGCUACCUGGUAAUUACUCAGCUUAGCCGAGCCCUGCUAAUUCUCAAGGGGAUCCCAGGGGGUGAAUUUCCCAAAGAUGUGCAGAGUCAAUUGAGAUGACUUUCCUCAGUUUUAAUGGAUUUGACACAGCUAGAAGCUUGCAUGGUGUCGGGAAGUUUAGUGCAAUUAUCAGUGGGUUGAGGAGCCCGCGCUGAAGGCGUUCCUUACCCAGGGAGGCUCAAGGAAAGUGGUGACAUCCCAUGAAGCCGCCUGUCUCCAUCUAGGGUUGUGGUAGUCAGGGCUGACACUGGGGAGGGCUAUGUCCAGGAUAGGAUGGACUCGAGUCUCUGCAAAGCAGGGAAUUCAGCUACAAAUCACAGUAGCUCUCCAGUAAGGUGCACAGGACAGGCAGCAUGUGAUCAAGGGGCAACCCUAGUGUUGAAGUGUCCGGCUGGUAGCAGUGUAGCCUCUGAUUUUCAAAGGACUGCUCACUCUUGCACAGUGAAACACAGACUAUCUCCUGAGGGGC